GUGGGGAAUAUUGGACAAUGGGCGAAAGCCUGAUCCAGCCAUGCCGCGUGUGUGAAGAAGGUCUUCGGAUUGUAAAGCACUUUAAGUUGGGAGGAAGGGCAGUAAGCUAAUACCUUGCUGUUUUGACGUUACCGACAGAAUAAGCACCGGCUAACUACGUGCCAGCAGCCGCGGUAAUACGAAGGGUGCAAGCGUUAAUCGGAAUUACUAGGCGUAAAGCGCGCGUAGGUGGUUUUGUAAGUUGGAGGUGAAAUCCCCGGGCUCAACCUGGGAACUGCCUCCAAAACUGCAUGACUAGAGUACGGUAGAGGGUAGUGGAAUUUCCUGUGUAGCGGUGAAAUGCGUAGAUAUAGGAAGGAACACCAGUGGCGAAGGCGACUACCUGGACUGAUACUGACACUGAGGUGCGAAAGCGUGGGGAGCAAACAGGAUUAGAUACCCGAGUAGUCC
rnacentral:rRNA from 1 species